rnacentral:lncRNA from 1 species
GGGCCCGUUGCCCUGGACGACGGGCGCCCCCUGCUCCUCCAAGCUGCUUCCCAGGAAAUGUCACUUUAUUGUCAAUGCUGCUUAACCGAGAUCCAACGGAUAAUAUUAGUCUCCUUGAAGACCACCCAACCUCUGCUUUGUUUUCUGCUGCUCAAAAUGGACGCUCAGACUGCGUUAACCUGCUGCUGACUUCGGGGGUGUCUACUGAUGUUUCUGAUUUAAACGCCUUUACACUUUGCCGCCUCACAUGGACACCACAGGUGUGUGGAGGC